rnacentral:ncRNA from 1 species
ACAGCGGACGGCAACUGGCGCUGAACGUGGGCCAACCACGGGGAAGCCGCUCCGAAUUCCAUUUGAUCGCGCGCCUGGGUCGGACGU